GGCUUCUAUUCUUUAACCUACUAGUAGCAUGAAUAUUCUAGGAAAUCAAAGUUGGAGGGUGAGCAGAAUAGUCUUUGCUAUAUUCAUCUUCUUGUUCUUUUGCCUUAGUAUACUAGACGAGCUAUCUUUGGGGUAAUAUAACCUAUUUUUUUAUACCUGUUAGUUUUUCGAAAUAAUCUUUGCAUGACUUUAUGGACCCCUAUUUUCUGAUAAGAGAGGGUUUUGUGGAUUUCUAGUAUGGCACAAUGGCCCUUAUGAACUGGUUGUUGCAUGCUUGAGAAGGAUGAACACCAUAGGUGAAAUAUAAAUUCGCUGACAUAAGUACUUGCAGAUAUUGCUAACCCGAAUGUAUACUUUUAAUAUAGACGUUAAACAUGACAUGUGAAAGUAGAUUUCAAUUUAACAUUGUGAACUAAGCAAUUUUUGGGAUAAUCAAAAUAUUCAAAUUCUGCCAAACAAGUCACCUUAAAGAGUAUUGAGACUGAAACUUAACUGUAACUUUCUUGUCUCCAGAUCUUGUUCUCAAAGAUAAAAUCUUUGUCUAUGAUUUGGCUCGUCAAAGAUUAGGAUGGGCAGAUUAUGAUUGUUCGUUGUCUGUGAACGUCUCUAUAACUUCCGGGAAGGAUGAAUUUGUUAAUGCUGGGCAACUGAGAGUGAGCAGCGGUUCAUCAAGUAGUGUACUCCUCAAGCUGGUAAAUAAGAGCAAUAAUGCUCUCCUGCUGCAUAUAUUAGUGAUCGUUGGACUUCUUUUUCUGUAAAUUAAUUUUCAGUGUAACCCCAAUUCUUGGCUUUGCCAAUUUAUAUUUAUUGUGAUUGGCAGUCAAUUGUAGUCCAUUUUUCUUUCCCAAGGAUAGCCGUUUCCUUAAGCCUCUCACUUUCCCUUUCCAAGGAACAACGGUGGCUUGAAGGCUCUGCCCCGUCUUUUCUUUAGUCUUGCUCACCCCCAACUGCUGGUAGAAGUAACCGCAACCUGUACCUCGACUCUUUGACCGAAAAUUGGACUCUUUCUCCCUCUCCCUCUUCGCAUCCAAAUUGUUCCUCCUCCUUGAGUGUGAACAAAGUUCUAAAUUAUUUUCGAAAUGAGGCUUGAAGGAUCAAAAUGUUGGUCAUGAUCGAGCAGAAUAAAUCUGUUCGCAGCGUUGCUUCUUAGGUGGUGAAAUUUGUACAGAUGAAAAGAAAUUUUGGGAGCUGGUCAGUUUGUAGUUAAAACAUUCUUAUCUAUGCUCCUUUAUCAUCUGUAUCUGGGACAGGUCGCUAUGCGAUUGUUUGAGUUGUAAUAUUUGGUGGUAUGACAAGAAGACUUGAGAAUUACGUCAUUUCAUAUUAAAUGAUAAGAUCAAUGAAGUGUAUAUCCAUCCAUUUAAUAGUAUUGCUAUUCGUGAGCAAUGCUUACUGAUCA